CAUGACCUGAGCCGAAGUCUGCCGCUUAAUCGACUGAGCCACCCAGGUGACCCAAACUCUCUAUUUAAUAUCUUCAAAAAUAUAAAGUAUUCUAGCAUUUCAUCAUUUUGAGAAAGUUUGUCCAGGAGCAUUCCAGUCUUUUUCACUGGUGUGUAGAAAAGGUCUUACAUAGCCGUUUUCCUGGAAUCUCCCUCCACACCACCCUUCACCUUUUUCUUAGUGACAUUUAUAUCCCGUGUGCUGUUGGGUUGUCCAAUGCUAUUCUGAUUCUUGGUACAUUUUCUUGAUUUUGUUUUCCUUCCUAAAGCUUUUAGGAUCUUCACUUGUACCCUUAUAUUCUAGAAUGUCAUAGAUAUGUCUGGGUGGGUGUCUGUGCUAGUGGGCCUCUCCACUCUGGAAAUUUAUAUCCUUCAGUUCUGGGAAAUUUUCCUGAGUUAUUUCUUUAUGAUUUGCUCACCUUGUUUUCUUUGUUCACCAUUUCUACAAUCACUGUUCUUUAGAUAUUGACCCUCCUAGACUGUUCUUUAAAUUCUGCUUCCUUCCCAGUUUUUAUUUGUGUGUUUAAUUUUUUCAGAGCUAUUUUUUCUUGAUUUUUUAAAGUAUCAUUUUGUUCUUGUUUAAUGAUUGUAAAGUCACUCAUUAAUCUCUCUUGAGGAUAUUAAUAAUUUUUUUUCUUGGUUUUUCUUCUCCCUGCAUAGACUCUUUCCUCCAAGUUGCCUUUCCUGUUUGUUUUGGCCACUGUUUAGUAUUGCAGCUUUUUCUUAAGUGUUUGAUAAUUCUUUGCUAUCUGCUCAUAUUAAAGAGUGGAUGACUAAAAAACUGCUUUCAAAGCAUUGCACAAGAAUAUCCAGAUGGGAGAGUAGCAGGGCUUUCUCUGGAAAAUACCAUAAGCCCAACAGGGAAUAAAGCUAAAGAUAGUAACACUGGGGAUUCCCAAGAAACCAUCCAGCCAGAUCACCUGACAAAGUUGUAUAGAUUAGAAAUGAUACAUACAAAGUCAAAUAAAUGUUGGCUACUUCAGUGUAAUUCUCUAUUCUUUUAAGAACUGAUCCUGAAAUUUUGCAGUUUGGUUAUCUCAGUUGAAAUCUCUUAGCAGAAAUGCCUUUGUAGAUUAUUUUUACAAAUGAUUUUGAGAUUUUUGAAUAUACAUAUGUACUCCUUUUGUUUGCUCCCACCUUUGCCCUCUUAACCUCAUUUUCCUUUCAUUAGGCCAGUAUUUUAGAUCCAAGAACUCAGAGGGAAUUAAAGUGUUCUUUGGAAGAUUUUGUACUGAGAGCUUUUAUCCCUUUAGGAGCAACAAUUAUCUUUAAAGUGUUUGGAGGUGAUGGAGUCAAGCUUUCUUCUUAGUUUGACUUCUCUUAAUGCCAACUGUGUUCCUGACAACACCUCUUGUUCCAAAAAUAGAGAUGACUGUUCUAUAUAAGACCACUUGGGUUAAUGGUCCUACCAUUAAUGCUAAUAUGGCAGGUCUGAAAGCCCACACUCCAAAAGCCAGAAGACACUCUAAUUUUCUUAGUGUAAUUUCUGUUUCUUUCUGGAAACCUGGUGGUCUAGAAUUUUUUCUAGUUAGCAUUUUGAUUAACAGAAGAAGCAUAACUCCAGGGAAAGAAGUCCUAUACUAGUUAAUCCUUUUUUACUUGUUCCUGAUGACUUUCAAGUCAAGAAAGAUGAAGGAGGACUAGACUGGAGGAAAAAAAGGUGAGUAAAGCAGAAAAAAAUUUAGUGCUAUUCAUAUAUAUAUAUAUAUAAAGUGUCUUUAUAAGUUAAAAAGUGUUUUGUGCCUUUCCCCUGCUACUCAUCUACUGAAGAUAUGGAAGUUAGGAGUGUGACCAUUCCAUUCAGAUAUCUAUGACAACAUUGUUUUGUUUUGUUUUGUUUCUAUGUAAAAAAGUAAGCUCUAUCUAUGCCCAAUGCAGAGCUUGAACUCAAAACCCUGAGAUUAAGAGUUGUAUGCUCUAUGGACUGAGCCAGGCACCCCCUUGAUAACAUGUUUUUAAUGUCAUGCAGCAUUGUGGAGUAAUUGCUAAUGAGUUGCUAAGUAAGUAUUGAAUUUAAAAGGCCAACAUUUUAUUUUAGUUUUUAAAAAAGUUUAUGAUUUAUUUUUGAGAGAGAGAGAGAGAGCACAAGCAGGGGAGGGGAAGACAGAACACACAGAAUGUGAAGCAGGCUCCAGGCUCCAAGCCAUCAGUGCAUAGCCCAGUGUGAGGCUAGAACCCACAAACAUGAGAUUGUAACAUGAGCCAAAGUUGGACGCUUAACCAACUGAGCCACCCAGGAGUCUCAAGGCCAACACUUUAGUAAGUUAUAAUAGUUUUGGGAGGUAGAGGUCAAAAAGUUAGUUUGAAAGACUGAGUAGUUUAGAAUUAAAUAUUAUAUAUAUAUAUACACAUACAUACAUACAUAUAUAUAUGUGUAUAUAUAUAUAUACAUAUAUAUACGUGUGUAUAUAUAUAUAUGUGUGUGUAUAUAUAUAUAUAAUAUUUAAUUCUAAAUAUGUAUAUAUAUAUGGAAGUACGGUGGAAGAUAAAGCAGUGUAAGUAGUUUGGGGUUUUGUUCUGGAGGACCAGCCUAAAUACCAUGUGACAAUCCUUGAAUGUUUUUGAACAGCACCAUGACAUGGUGAAAAUCAAGUUUCAGAAAUAAUUAUUUGAUAAGAAUGUGGAAAAUAACUAUUUUCUUUCAACAAGAUAUGUUGACUACCUACCGUUUGCUAAGUAUGUGCCAGGCACUGAGGCUACAAAGCUAAGGAAAGCAGUUUCUGCCUUUGGAAGUAACUACUCUGUAGAAAAAGAUAUAUUAAGAGAAAAAAAAUUUUUUUUUAAUUUAGGUAAGUGCAGUGAUAAUGAUGUAGCUGAGAUGCUAUUAGAUCAUAGAGGAAGGGAACUUAACCUACAUAGGAAUUCUUGAGAAGGUUUUCUGGUGGAUGUGAUACCUUAAUAGCAUCUCAGAAAAUGAAGGAAUGUAGUAACAGAUUUGGAAGAGCAUUCCAGGCAGAGGGAACAGUAUAAGAAAGACCUAGAAACAGAGGCAAACAUGUUAGGUUCAUACCACUAUGGGCACAUCUAGUUUGCUGUGUUCUAAAGCAAAGAGUAGUGUUUGAAGUUAACAAGGACUUUGUAUGCCUUUCUUGUGUUCGAGGUGAGAAAUGCUGCAGGCCUGAACGAGGGAAUUUGUGGUAAGGAUGGUGAGAAAGGGGUAGUUUCUCUCAGAAAAUGAAGGGGUAAAAUCAUUAGAACUAAGUGAUUGGAUUUGGGGGAUGAGAAUAAAAGAGGAGCCCCAAAUUGCUCUUAGAUUUCUGCCUGGUAUUCAGGUAGAUGAGUAGCACCAUUAACUGAGAAUGGACAGGAGAGAGUAGCAAAUCGGGAGUGAAUGCAGCGUUGGACAUUUUGACAUUCAGGUCCAGCAGACCUUUAGAUAUAUAUCUUAAUAUCUUAACAUAUAAUAUCUAUAAUGUCUUAAAUAUAUCUGAAGCAUGGGAGAGUUCAGAAUUAGAGACUUUUGGGGUCAGCUGCCCUGAGUGUCGUUUUAACCACAAGUGUGCAUCAAGCCAUGUCGGUGGUUCUUUGAAGCAGAGUGAAAAUGGUACAUAGAGGAACAGUAGUGUUUAACCAGUGGUAGAGGAAGUCUUACAAAGCAGACUGAUCAUAACUUGUCAAAAGCAAGACAGCCACGAGUAGUAUCACAGAACUCAAGAGAAGAUUUUAUGUUCAAAAUGAAUAAUAUCAAAUGUUCUAGUGGAGGCUAAUUAAAUAUGUACUGAAACCUUGACAGUAGAUUUGACAAUUUGGUGAUCUUUUUUGUUCUCAGGAAAAAGGGAAGGAGUCAGGCCAUAGCUAGAGAGGUACACAGAACUGAAGAAAGGAUUGUGAUAAAAAUGAAGACUGAGCAUGUUUAUAUACUGAAGGUGACAGCAGCUAACGUUUACUGAAGAUGUACUGGAUUCCAGGCCGUCUUCUAAGGGUUUCUUGUAUUAACUCAUUUAUUCCUCACAGUAACCCUAUAAAGUAGAUACUCUUUUCCUCAUUUUACUAAAGAGGAGAGUUAACCACAGAGAGAUUGUCACAUGGCUGACAACUGGUAAAAGAGCAGAAUCAGAAUUUGAACCCUGGGGUUCUGACACAAUAGGCCAGUUAUUUACCCAUAUCCUAUACUGCCUCCAUAGAACUGUAGAGAUUGUAGACAUGGAGAAGAGUGGUAAUUAAUGGAUUAAGAUCAGAAAAGACUGGAGGGGAUAAAGUCAGGAACAUUGGUGAGAGUUUUGGUCUUGAACAGGAGUGAGGAUAUUUAAUUCUUGAAGACCAGAAACCAGGCCUACAGGUGGAGGUGAUUCCUCCUCAGUCUUUUUUCCUUGUCACGAAUUUGAUGAAGAAACCAGGUUUCCACCUGUUGAAUUUCCCAGAGUCUGGAUUUUGCUGAUUGAAUAUCUAUGGGAUGCAAAGUCCCCAGGCUGAAGCCCUAAGCAGAAAGGCUGAUGGAUCCCAUGGUGCACAGGUUUGCACUAGCAGUGGCUAGUUUCACCAAGAAUGAAGGAGUUCUAUACACAUGGUAAAUAAAAAUGCUUUAACAAAAGCUGUUGCUUCUUUAGUCAUCUAUAGACAACAGGGAUGGCCAAAACAUUAUGCAGAAUCAUAGCCUUGCCUUUAUAGUUUUCAGAACUCAAAACAUUUUUCUUGCUGCCAGUAGAGUUUGAGUAAUCUGUCACUACUCAUCAGGAUGAAGUGCCCUGUGGGGGAAGGUAAGAGGGUAUGGCCCUUGCCUGCUGAGAACAUAGUCUUAUCGACCUAGUAUGAUCUACUCAAAGGCUGUCCUCAUCUUUCACGAGGAAGGACACUCAAGUGAUCUGCCAAAUGUUAGAGGAUAACAGAGCACGUGGAUUAUAAAUUUGGGAAGGUAAACACAGGUUCCUGGAUGGUCUCAUUUUUGCCAUCAUGCGAUAAAGGCAGACUCUUAGAGUCGGCUCCACAUUUCAGACCCUUGACCCAGGUGGGAGAACAGUUGAACCUACUUCUUGGAUGCCAAGGUCAUGAUAUGCCCUUUGUAGCUGAGGAUGGUGCAGCCUAAGUACGAAUGCUGUUCCUCCCUUUCCUUUCCUCUCUCAGGCCCUGGGUUGUGGUCAGCAAGAACAUUAGGAACCCCUUGAGAGUUUAUUGCAGAGUGAAUGCUCACAGGAGUUUCAAAUGAGGCAGCAGUGGAUGGUCUGAUACCUGCUUUCAGUGGGCUCUUUCCUUCCCCCAGAACCAUUUCCUGUGCGGACAUUCUCGCAAGGCGUAGGGAAAUUUGCUUCUCAAGAGGGCCAUGUCUAACACAGAGCGGCAUGUCUAUCGUAUUAACAGAGUUCCUUUUCUUAGUACAGAUUUUGGAGAUGGCUUGGGGAAAAGGAAGGAGCCUUAGUCUUAGAGUCAUAGGAGCUAUUUAAGUCCAGGCAGCCUUGACGAGGCCAUGUGAUGUAGCACAGGCUCUCCGGAGUUUCACUGAGUGGGGUUUGAAUGCCAAUGUGCCUUAGACCAGACUCUGUUUCACGUCUGAAGCCUGUGGUGCAGGGAUAGCCACCUGCAGGAUUGUUAGGAGGAAUAGAUAUGAUAAUGUAUGGAGAGUACUUGGGGUGUGGCAGGACUGUUAGUGCAUUCAGGUCGCUUUUCUAAGAUUAUUUCCUCUUGAAGAGUGAAGAUGAUGCCCUAUGAUGUUUAGGGUAGUUGAGAGAAUAAAAUAAUGUAUGCAGUUAUGCUACACAAAUAUAGUAUUGAGAUUAGAGAAGCCCUUCACAAGGAUCUUGGUAACCCAUUCCAGAUUUUUAGCACUCAUCCAUUCAUCCUUACAUCGAACUAGAAUAUUUCCUUCUUUAUUACUGUCCUUUUUUUUUUCUUGACCUUCCAAGAAUGUGAAGUUCAUUUGCUUCAUGAAAAUCUUCAUGCCCUGAAAGAUAUAAUCCCUUCACUCCUAGCCUUUAGGUUUGAAAAAACCAAUCUUGAUUAUUACUGGCAAUUUUCUUAUCUGUAAUUACUUGUUUCUUUAUUCUAAACUCUAACUUUUCCAUUGCUUAUGGUGGCCAAAACAGGAAAUAAUCGAGAAUUUCUCAGACUAAAACAUGGGGGAAAGAUUACUUUCUGUCCCCGGUUCCCCAUUAAAAUAUCUAUAUCUGUAUCUUUAUUAUAAAAGUAACAUCUCUUUGUAUACAUUUUGGAAAAGAGAGAAGGAAAACAGCCCAUAAUUGCAUCAGUACAACUAAUAGUUUCAUGACUGCACAUCUGGCUAUUUUUAUAUACAUAUUUUAUGUAUCUUUAUAGCUUAUAUAUCUUUGUACAUAUCUUACAUAAUCACAGUCAUAUACAAAUAUGAAUCUUACAGUGUGGUGUAUAAUGCUGCUUGUCUUUGGUGGCUAUCUUGUAGAAUUGUAAGGAUUCAAUGCGCUAAGUGCUUAGCACAGUGUCUGGCAUAAAGUUAGUGUCAGUAGGUGGGAGGUAGUUAUUGUAGGACAUUUCCUGAUGGAUGCACAGAAGUGGAUUUACUGGGUCAGAUACUUUUUAGGCUCUUGAUACAUGCCACCUGCCACGUUGCUUUCUAGAAGCCAUUUCAGUUCAUAGAACCCUUGGCACUAGUGAGUUUCACUGCUCCUUAUCAGCAUUUAGAGCUCUCCCAGUACCUCUCCCCCUUUUAUUUUUAGAUUAGGGAAGCUAAUUUAGUAGGUGAAAAUGGUACCUCAUUGUCUAAGUUUCAUUCUUUGAUAACUACCAACCUGUCUUAUAUUUACUAGCAAUGUUUCCUCUUGUAAGGUCGAUGAUCUGUUAAACAAUUGGAAUCACUUAAUGUUUUCUUAUUGAAUUAUGUAGGCUCGUCAGUAAAGAUAUUAAUCCCUUGUCAUAUGGAUUGCAAAUAUUUUUCCCGACUGUUUCCUUAUUUUGGCUAUGAUUUUUUUAAAUUUGCGCAUGCACAUACACACACGCGCAUGCGCGCGCGCGCGCACACACACACACACACACACACACACACACACACACACACACACAACGCGGUCCAUCUCUUCUGUGCCUGAGUCUUGCCAGGUCUGAUGGUAGUACCUUGAGUUCAACAGGGGAGACUCCUCCCAUAGUUACAUGGGCUUCUAAUAACAUGUGUUUUUUUUUUUUUUCUUUUACACAUAUCUUUUAUGGUAAGAGUAAACAGACUCUUCAUAGGCCCAGAGAACACGUUUUCCUUGAUAUAGGGAAAUUAAGUAGAGAGGGAAGGAGCUCACUAGACUAUCGCUUGGUUUUUAUAACAGGUUAUAAUUUCAGCUCUUCGUGACUGGAAUCUUCUACACAUUUUCCGUCUUUUCCUCUAGGACUGGUGUUUCUGAAGAUACCAUUGCAGAUACCUAUUUGGCAAGUGUGUGUUCUACCAAUAUAGGCCCUACCCGAGUUCCCUGAAGAACUCCCACUACCACCUACCCUCAUCCACCGUCUUCACAUGUUUUCUCGCAAGAAGAUGCCAGGUCUUCGUGAGAUCUGGGGGUUAAGGGCAUGGGGCUCUUUGCCUGGAUGAAAUGCUGGUGAAUCUACCUUCUCCUACUACUCUGUUCAACUUCCUUCCCUGCAAGAGAGUGAGCAGUCAUCCCUUGCCCCCGGGGAAGCCUUGUGUGGAUAUCCUUAGUAGAGCAGAGUCGGUCUGCGGGUUCCCUUGCCAAGGAGUCCUGUCCUUUCUAAUCAUCAAGACCUGUACUAAAGGCUCCGAGAGAGCCCAGACAGCUGAUGUGUGAGAGCAGGAGCAGGCCUGCACGGACUUCCUCAUCACUGUGGCCAUCAAUGCACACAAAGGCAUUCCACUGGCUUCUGAGUCUAGAUCUAUAAAUAUAUUUAUUAUAAUAUAACAAGAACUUAACAAUAAACAUAUACUAUGUACAAUACCA